UACGUAGGGUGCAAGCGUUGUCCGGAAUUAUUGGGCGUAAAGAGCGUGUAGGCGGCGUGGCAAGUCCGGUGUGAAAACUCGAGGCUCAACCUCGAGACGCCGGUGGAAACUGCAAAGCUAGAGUCCGGAAGAGGAGAGUGGAAUUCCUGGUGUAGCGGUGAAAUGCGCAGAUAUCAGGAAGAACACCCGUGGCGAAGGCGGCUCUCUGGGACGGUACUGACGCUGAGACGCGAAAGCGUGGGGAGCGAACAGG
rnacentral:rRNA from 1 species